rnacentral:rRNA from 1 species
CCUACGGGGGGCAGCAGUGAGGAAUAUUGGUCAAUGGGCGUAAGCCUGAACCAGCCAAGUCGCGUGAGGGAUGAAGGUUCUAUGGAUCGUAAACCUCUUUUAUAAGGGAAUAAAGUGCGGGACGUGUCCCGUUUUGUAUGUCCCUUAUGAAUAAGGCUCGGCUAACUCCGUGCCAGCAGCCGCGGUAAUACGGAGGGUCCGAGCGUUAUCCGGAUUUAUUGGGUUUAAAGGGUGCGUAGGCGGCCUAUUAAGUCAGAUGUGAAAGUCUGUGGCUCAACCAUAGAAUUGCCGUUGAAACUGGGAGGCUUGAGUAUGUUUGAGGCAGGCGGAAUGCGUGGUGUAGCGGUGAAAUGCUUAGAUAUCACGCAGAACCCCGAUUGCGAAGGCAGACUGCCAAGCCAUGACUGACGCUGAUGCACGAAAGCGUGGGGAGCAAACAGGAUUAGAUACCCUUGUAGUC